CACGUGGGUAACCUGCCUUAUAGUGGGGGAUAGCCUUUCGAAAGGAAGAUUAAUACCGCAUAAGAUUGUAGUAUCGCAUGAUAUAGCAAUUAAAGGAGCAAUUCGCUAUAAGAUGGACCCGCGUCGCAUUAGCUAGUUGGUGAGGUAAUGGCUCACCAAGGCGACGAUGCGUAGUCGACCUGAGAGGGUGAUCGGCCACAUUGGGACUGAGACACGGCCCAGACUCCUACGGGAGGCAGCAUG
rnacentral:rRNA from 1 species